rnacentral:pre_miRNA from 1 species
AUCACUUGGGAAUCUUGAUAAAAUGCAGAUUUUGGUUUGGUAGAUCUGGAGUGGGGCUAAAAAUUCUGCAUUUCUAACAAGCUCCAGGGUGAACCUAG